UGGAUCCAGACUUUGAUCAUGGCUCAGGAUAAACGCUGGCGGCGCACAUAAGACAUGCAAGUCGAACGGACUUAACCAUUAGUUUACUAUUGGAGCGGUUAGUGGCGGACUGGUGAGUAACACGUAAGCAACCUGCCUAUCAGAGGGGAACAACAGUUAGAAAUGACUGCUAAUACCGCAUAUGCCUUAGUAACACAUGUUACAAAAGGGAAAGGAGCAAUCCGCUGAUAGAUGGGCUUGCGUCUGAUUAGAUAGUUGGUGGGGUAACGGCCUACCAAGUCGACGAUCAGUAGCCGGACUGAGAGGUUGAACGGCCACAUUGGGACUGAGAUACGGCCCAGACUCCUACGGGAGGCAGCAGUCGGGAAUAUUGCGCAAUGGAGGAAACUCUGACGCAGUGACGCCGCGUGCAGGAAGAAGGUUUUCGGAUUGUAAACUGCUUUAGACAGGGAAGAAACAAGACGGUACCUGUAGAAUAAGCUCCGGCUAACUACGUGCCAGCAGCCGCGGUAAUACGUAGGGAGCAAGCGUUAUCCGGAUUUAUUGGGUGUAAAGGGUGCGUAGACGGGAAGUCAAGUUAGUUGUGAAAUCCCUCGGCUUAACUGAGGAACUGCAACUAAAACUAACUUUCUUGAGUGCUGGAGAGGAAAGUGGAAUUCCUAGUGUAGCGGUGAAAUGCGUAGAUAUUAGGAGGAACACCAGUGGCGAAGGCGACUUUCUGGACAGUAACUGACGUUGAGGCACGAAAGUGUGGGGAGCAAACAGGAUUAGAUACCCUGGUAGUCCACACCGUAAACGAUGGAUACUAGGUGUAGGGGAUGAAUAAUCUUCUGUGCCGUCGCAACCGCAGUAAGUAUCCCACCUGGGGAGUACGGCCGCAAGGUUGCAACUCAAAUGAAUUGACGGA
rnacentral:rRNA from 1 species